rnacentral:rRNA from 1 species
UUGAACGCUGGCGGCAGGCAUAACACAUGCAAGUCGAGCGGAUGAAGGGAGCUUGCUCCUGGAUUCAGCGGCGGACGGGUGAGUAAUGCCUAGGAAUCUGCCUGGUAGUGGGGGAUAACGUCCGGAAACGGGCGCUAAUACCGCAUACGUCCUGAGGGAGAAAGUGGGGGAUCUUCGGACCUCACGCUAUCAGAUGAGCCUAGGUCGGAUUAGCUAGUUGGUGGGGUAAAGGCCUACCAAGGCGACGAUCCGUAACUGGUCUGAGAGGAUGAUCAGUCACACUGGAACUGAGACACGGUCCAGACUCCUACGGGAGGCAGCAGUGGGGAAUAUUGGACAAUGGGCGAAAGCCUGAUCCAGCCAUGCCGCGUGUGUGAAGAAGGUCUUCGGAUUGUAAAGCACUUUAAGUUGGGAGGAAGGGCAGUAAGUUAAUACCUUGCUGUUUUGACGUUACCAACAGAAUAAGCACCGGCUAACUUCGUG